CCUACGGGAGGCUGCAGUGGGGAAUAUUGGACAAUGGGCGAAAGCCUGAUCCAGCCAUGCCGCGUGUGUGAAGAAGGCCUUCGGGUUGUAAAGCACUUUCAGUGGGGAAGAAAGCCUUGGGGCUAAUACCCUCGAGGAAGGACAUCACCCACAGAAGAAGCACCGGCUAACUCCGUGCCAGCAGCCGCGGUAAUACGGAGGGUGCGGGCGUUAAUCGGAAUUACUGGGCGUAAAGCGCGCGUAGGCGGUCUGAUAAGCCGGUUGUGAAAGCCCCGGGCUCAACCUGGGAACGGCAUCCGGAACUGUCAGGCUAGAGUGCAGGAGAGGAAGGUAGAAUUCCCGGUGUAGCGGUGAAAUGCGUAGAGAUCGGGAGGAAUACCAGUGGCGAAGGCGGCCUUCUGGACUGACACUGACGCUGAGGUGCGAAAGCGUGGGUAGCAAACAGGAUUAGAUACCCGAGUAGUC
rnacentral:rRNA from 1 species